GCACAGAAACACCGUUAUUAGUAAUGAUGGUUCAUACGACUUGUAUAUUAAUUAAACAUGCGUUCACAUUUUUUUCUUAAGUUUUGAAUUAUUUUUUUCUUUCACUUUGAUAUUCAUUGUCAUUUUUGUUUGUUUGAUAUAUCAUCUAAUCAAGCGUAUCACCAUCCUAUCGUAUCUCAAUGAGAAGCUAAAAUCCAUCACAACACCCCUCCCCCGCCGCGAAUCUCAGAAAACCAAUUUAACAUGUUUAAUGAAUUAAAGAAAUUGUGAUUUUAACUUAAAAAUGUUAUCCGUUCCGUCCCGUUUUCCGUUCCGCAUUUUAGCAACACCCUGCAGGCCACGUUAGCGGGUAUUAGUUUUACCCAGUUAACUUGCACGUGCUAGUGAUGUACUUUCCGGUGUUUUCCAUAUGCAGAAAAGGAUUAAUUAACACGGAUAAACGUUUCUUUUGUGAUGAUAAGCAAAAAGGAUCCAUAUUGUGCUCUUAUUGGAUUAUCAUUGUGAUGUUGACCAAUAUAGUUUAGAUCACCAUGUAAAUUGAAAUGGAACUUCAUCAAAGACCCACAACAGUGAGACACACUUGAUAGUUUUUCAACACAGACACAUUUAUCCGGAAAAUGAAUCUGGCUUCACACCACAAAGUUUUAACAGGACAGAGACAAUUUGAUGAGCUUUCAUUCAAAAGGUUCCUCGUUGCUGAAUGAAAAUUAGGGCUGGAGCUAUGUACCCGAAUGUUAACAUUACCGCCUAUCGAAAAUGCAUGAGUGGACUAUAACCAUAUAUAUAUAUAUAUAUAUAUAUAUAUAUAUAUAUAUAUAUAUAUAUAUAUAUAUAUAUAUAUAUUUGUCUUAUCUUAAAAUUGUUUACGUAUACAAUGAACAUGUGAUAUGCAUGUAAAAUUUACCUGGAAAUGAAUCAAUAUGUAUUUAUAUAAAAGAUAAACCAUAUCUCAAACAAAUUAAAAAAUGUUGAUCUGUUAAAUAGUUUUAUUUCGAGAAGACUGUUUUCUGACUGGAAUCUGAACUUUAUAUAAUUUGAUUUAUUUUUCAAUUUUAUAAAGCUUAAAAUCUUGUUUUCACAGAAAAUGAAGGUUUUCUUAAAGUGAAUUAAAUUGUAGAU